CCCCAAGAGUCAGACAUGACUGGACUUUAAUGUCAUGGGGAAACCUUUACCUUUAAUGUCAAUAUGAAUCAAUAUACCCGAUCAACUUCUAUAAGUGCAUUCAGUAGCAAAGGAAAUUGGGUAUUGUGUUUUAAUCUGUUUGUAAACCUCUAUUAAAGGGGCAAUCCUCAGGAACAACACCUGAAAGGCCAGAGAAUAUAUCUGAUCCCAAGAUUCCAGAUACAGUGCUCUGACUUCAAAGCUCUACUUCUUCACAACUGGUAUAGAAAGAACCACACUGGCUGCUCUUUGAAAUUGGGAAAGCAACUUCAGGGGGCGUGCAGGGGGAGAAAAUGGAGAAGCCAGGAUAUAAACUAUCCUGAUGCUUUUCUAUCCUCCUUUCACUCCAUCUUGAAACAUUCCAGCUGGGUGGGAAAAAUGUAGGAUGGGACCUCAGAAAGUGGAGAUUACCCUCACUGCUCCUCCCUUUCUGAACUGGAUAACUAUAAGUUUCCAGGUUUGCCAUGGGAUUGUAUUAUAAGUACUUAAUAUGCUUACAAGUUAUAUAUACUUAAUAUAACUUGUAAGCAUAUUAAGUACUUACAAUACAAGAAGCAUAUAUAAAAAUAUAUAAGGGGAAAUUGAAGGAGAGAGAGAUGGAGAGAGAAAGAAAAAUUGGAAUGAAAUAAAACAUGUCCAAACAUCCAGAAUCUGAUCUACUUAAACUGUGUAAGUAUUAGGUAACAGCCAAGGGCUGACUAACUUAAGACUAAAUUCAAUUUGUUAAGUAUCAACAGCACAAGUAAAGAAACUGUAUGGAUGCCAGUGAGAAAUGACUCUACUGCUUCAGGAGAUCAACAUUUCAAUCAGGAGAAAUUUAGUUGAUCUUGAUAGGAUGAAGGCAGAGCCGACUGUAACAAUCAUAAACAGUCUUUCUAGGAAUACUAUUACCAGCUGCAUUGUACUUCAACAAACUCAGACUGCAUAAGGAAUUUGAUGCUUUAUCUUCUCAGGUGCUCUAGAUUCCCAACUGGAAGUCUUCAGUGUUAAACUUGAUUUGAAUUGCUGCAUUAAAUCAAAUUGAUUUAAAUUGCUGAAUUAAAUUGCCUUAAUUUAAACCAACCCACCUUGCUCUAAAAGGUGAGAGAAUGUGGAGGAAGUUUUCUUAGGGAGACCUUUGUAUACAAGCAGUUUGACACAUGCUUGGAAUGAGUAAGUUGAAAGGCCACAGAGAUGUGGUACUACAGUACUUCUCACUGUUUCCUUGACCCUUUCCUCUCUGUUCCCUCCCCCCUUUUUUUUCUUAAAGAAAGUGCAAUAAGAUUUGAAUUUCUCCAGGUUUUUAGUGACUGUUUCUUCCCAGCAUGAUCAGGAGUAAUCUGUUUUCUGUAGUAGUGCAGUGACAUUAGAAUGUCCUUCUUUAGCAUGUCAUAAACUGGCUUUAUUUAGUCUUUUAUUAUGUAGGGCUAGUCUUAUUGGGCCAAUUAUAAUGUGCAACAUCUUUUACUUUUGUUGAAACUAGGUUCUUGUUUUAUUUUUAGUCUUUAGUAUUUGUUCCUUGUUGUAGCUUUUAGAAAUUAGAUCUUGCACAUGUAGUUUAUUGAUUAUCUUGUGUUUUUUAUGAUUAGGCCAUAUGCUACUUAGGGUACUGUUAGUAAAAACAAGAUAUACGUACAUAUUGUUACUGUGUGCUUCACUGGUGGGAGCUGUAGUGCUCGUAAGUCCUACUAUUUCAAUGCCAUGUGGAAAAGUGGUAGGUUAAAAUCACUUCACAUUUUGAGAAGUUGUCCGUUACUAUGCCAAAGAGAAGGUGUGAUGGUCUAUGAUGGUCGUACAGACAUCUUCUAGAAAAAUGGCUUCCAGCAUGAAAUGGAGAUUAUGGAAUCCCCAUGUGAGGAUCUUGCUACUGCAGAAGCACACAGAUGAACAUAAUGAUGGACUCAUUUGAGCAACUGUAGUUGAAAUAUACAGAGCAUUCUCCUAAAAGAGAGAGAGUCUGGUACAUUGUUAAAUGCCAUCUGCAGUUUUCUUUUUGGUAUAAUAUGGACAAGUUUGCUGCAUUAAAUAGGACACACUGAA